GAUGAACGCUGGCGGCGUGCCUAAUACAUGCAAGUCGAGCGAACAGACGAGGAGCUUGCUCCUCUGACGUUAGCGGCGGACGGGUGAGUAACACGUGGAUAACCUACCUAUAAGACUGGGAUAACUUCGGGAAACCGGAGCUAAUACCGGAUAACAUGUUGAACCGCAUGGUUCAACAGUGAAAGACGGUCUUGCUGUCACUUAUAGAUGGAUCCGCGCCGCAUUAGCUAGUUGGUAAGGUAACGGCUUACCAAGGCAACGAUGCGUAGUCGACCUGAGAGGGUGAUCGGCCACACUGGAACUGAGACACGGUCCAGACUCCUACGGGAGGCAGCAGUAGGGAAUCUUCCGCAAUGGGCGAAAUCCUGACGGAGCAACGCCGCGUGAGUGAAGAAGGUCUUCGGAUCGUAAAACUCUGUUAUUAGGGAAGAACAAAUGUGUAAGUAACUAUGCACGUCUUGACGGUACCUAAUCAGAAAGCCACGGCUAACUACGUG
rnacentral:rRNA from 1 species